GAUGAACGCUAGCGGCAGGCUUAAUACAUGCAAGUCGAGGGACAGCACAGGUAGCAAUACUGGGUGGUAACCGGCAAACGGGUGCGGAACACGUACACAACCUUCCUUUAAGUGGGGGAUAGCCCAGAGAAAUUUGGAUUAAUACCCCGUAAUAUAGUUGAAUGGCAUCAUUUGAUUAUUAUAGCUCCGGCGCUUAAUGAUGGGUGUGCGGCUGAUUAGAUAGUUGGCGGGGUAACGGCCCACCAAGUCUACGAUCAGUAGCUGAUGUGAGAGCAUGAUCAGCCACACGGGCACUGAGACACGGGCCCGACUCCUACGGGAGGCAGCAGUAAGGAAUAUUGGUCAAUGGACGCAAGUCUGAACCAGCCAUGCCGCGUGAAGGAUUAAGGUCCUCUGGAUUGUAAACUUCUUUUAUUUGGGACGAAAAAGGGCCUUUCUAGGUCAACUGACGGUACCAGAUGAAUAAGCACCAGCUAACUCCGUGCCAGCCGCCGCCGUAAUAC
rnacentral:rRNA from 1 species